CGCUGGUUGUGUACGCUGUGUCUGCUGUGAGCAUGGCUGAGGAAGAAGGAAAUCAGGAGAUCACUUCCAAGAUGGAAAACCCCUCAGAUUCAGCAUCCACUUCACCUGACAUUCCUCAGACCAGUGAGAAUCCACCAUCACCCCCAACCUCACCUGACAAGCCUCAGACCAGUGAAAAUCCACCAUCACUCCAUUCGAAUAGUUCAGGAAAACAAGUAUGAAAAUUUUGUGUUGUCCUUUACCCCCAUCUGUCCUGUGUUUCAAAGUAUUCCAAUAGUGGCAGUUCUAAGGAUACUGGAGUGUGAGUUAAUAUAUAGCCCAUACCUUGCUAACUGCCAGAUUUUCUUCUUGAAUCAGUUCAUUUCGUUUAAUUUCUUACCAGGUUACUGAGAUGCUCCAAACCAAGGAAACAUAUCUGUACCGUAUUUCAGGGGGAAGUCUUUGGUAGCAGGUCUUCUCCUUAGUUUAUAGUUCUGAGACAUUUCUGUUUCUAGUAUUGUCAGGCAAAUACUAGCUGCCAAUGACGGUAACCUUGCUAAAGCAAGACUAAAGGUAGCCUCUGGAACUUAGAUACAUUGGUGAUGCCCACUUGAGGUUUUUGGAGACCAAAAGCAACCCAUUGUACCUACCAUAGAAGCGUACAGACUUUGUUUCGAAUACAUUGAUGUACUUCAAGAAUAUAUUCUUUUUUUUUUUUUUUUUUUUU
rnacentral:lncRNA from 1 species